rnacentral:rRNA from 1 species
AUUGAACGCUGGCGGAAGGCCUAACACAUGCAAGUCGAGCGAGCGGCGGACGGUUGAGUAAUGUCUGGGAAACUGCCUGAUGGAGGGGGAUAACUCCUGGAAACGGUAGCUAAUACCGCAUACCAUCAGAUUUGCCCAGAUGGGAUUAGCUAGUAGGUGGGGUAACGGAUCACCUAGGCGACGAUCCCUAGCUGGUCUGAGAGGAUGACCAGCCACACUGGAACUGAGACACGGUCCAGACUCCUACGGGAGGCAGCAGUUGGGAAUAUUGCACAAUGGGCGCAAGCCUGAUGCAGCCAUGCCGCGUGUAUGAAGAAGGCCUUCGGGUUGUAAAGUACUUUCAGCGGGGAGGCGUUACCCGAAGAAGAAGCACCGGCUAACUCCGUGCCAGCAGCCGCGGUAAUAC